rnacentral:rRNA from 1 species
AGAGUUUGAUCCUGGCUCAGGAUGAACGCUGGCGGCGUGCCUAAUACAUGCAAGUCGAACGAACUGUUUUUCUUCGGAGGAACAGUUAGUGGCGUCCGGGUGAGUAACACGUAGGUGACCUACCCCGAAGUGGGGAAUAACCACCCGAAAGGGUAGCUAAUUCCGCAUGUGGUCCGGCAUUCGGUUGCCGGAUUAAAGCCGAAAGGCGCUAUGGGAGGGGCCUGCGUCCGAUUAGCUAGUUGGUAGGGUAAUGGCCUACCAAGGCGAAGAUCGGUAGCUGGUCUGAGAGGAUGAUCAACCACACUGGCACUGAAACACGGGCCAGACUCCUACGGGAGGCAGCAGUAAGGAAUAUUGCACAAUGGGCGAAAGCCUGAUGCAUCAACGCCGCGUGGGUGAUGAAGGCCUUCGGGUCGUAAAACCCUUUUCUGGGGGAAGAGGAAGGACGGUACCCCAGGAAUAAGCACCGGCUGACUACGUGCCAGCAGCCGCGGUAACACGUAGGGUGCGAGCGUUAUCCGGAUUUACUGGGCGUAAAGCGCGCGCAGGCGGUGUCGUAAGUUGGAUGUGAAAUCUUUCGGCUUAACCGGGAGGAGCCAUUCAAUACUGCGGCGCUACGAGGGCAGAAGAGGGGAGCGGAAUUCCCGGUGUAGUGGUAAAAUGCGUAGAGAUCGGGAGGAACACCAGUGGCGAAGGCGGCUCUCUGGUCUGCACCUGACGCUGAGGCGCGAAAGCGUGGGGAGCGAACGGGAUUAGAUACCCCGGUAGUCCACGCCGUAAACAAUGGGUACUGGGUGUGGGGAGUAUUGUUUCUCUCCGUGCCGAAGCUAACGCGUUAAGUACCCCGCCUGGGGACUACUGCCGCAAGGUUAAAACUCAUAGGAAUUGACGG